ACCCGCUGAACUUAAGCAUAUCACUAAGCGGAGGAAAAGAAACUAACUAGGAUGGCCUCAGUAAUGGCGAAUGAAGCGGCCAGAGCCCAAGAUGGUAAUCUCCGCCUUUCAGGCGGCGAAUUGUAAUCUUGAGAUGCUAAACUCAAUUGGUGGUGUCGUAGAAGUGCCCUGGAACGGGCCGCCAAAGAGGGUGACAGCCCCGUACGUGACGACGCCGCCUAACGAGUUGGUAUUCAAAGAGUCGGGUUGUUUUGUAUUGCAGCCCUAAGCGGGAGAUAAACUUCUUCUAAGGCUAAAUAUAUGUGGGAAACCGAUAGCGAACAAGUACUGUGAAGGAAAGAUGAAAAGCACUUUGGAAAGAGAGUCAAAAGACCUGAAACCGUUGAGGAGGAAGCGGUAGAGAUGUAUUCUACGGCGAUGCGCGGGGAAGACGAUCUAAGCACGGCGGAGGUAUGUCACGUCAAAGGGCUGCUUUUGUCUCAAGCGGAAAUCGUUCAUUUGUGCGGCGUCGUGAGGCAGGAUGGAGUGACGGGAUCACAAAGGCCUAGUUGAUCUGGGAGCCCUCGGGUUUCAAUCCUCUGGUGCCGGUGGCCUCGUGGCUUGAGGGUGCUUUGUGCGAUCCUGUCAAAAUGGUCUUUACCGACUCGUCUUGAAACACGAACCAAGGAGUCUAACGUACACGCGAGUAUGCCAGCGGAAAAACUGACAUGCGCAAUGAAGGUGAGUGAUGCCAAGCGCAAGCAGCAGCAUCGACCGACCAUGAUUCUUAAUGAAAGGUUUGAGUAUGAGCGUGUCCGCUAGGACCCGAAAGAUGGUGAACUAUGCCUGCGUAGGGUGAAGCCAGGGGAAACUCUGGUGGAAGCUCGUAGCGAUACUGACGUGCAAAUCGUUCGUCGAACGUGGGUAUAGGGGCGAAAGACUAAUCGAACCAUCUAGUAGCUGGUUCCCUCCGAAGUUUCCCUCAGGAAAGG
rnacentral:rRNA from 1 species